GACGAACGCUGGCGUCGUGCUUAACACAUGCAAGUCGAACGGAAAGGCCCUGCAUUUGUGGGGUGCUCGAGUGGCGAACGGGUGAGUAACAAGUGAGUAACCUGCCCUUGACUUUGGGAUAACUUCAGGAAACUGGGGCUAAUACCGGAUAGGAGCUCCUGCUGCAUGGUGGGGGUUGGAAAGUUUCGGCGGUUGGGGAUGGACUCGCGGCUUAUCAGCUUGUUGGUGGGGUAGUGGCUUACCAAGGCUUUGACGGGUAGCCGGCCUGGGAGGGUGACCGGCCACAUUGGGACUGAGAUACGGCCCAGACUCAUACGGGAGGCAGGAGUGGGGAAUAUUGCACAAUGGGCGGAAGCCUGAUGCAGCAACGCCGCGUGCGGGAUGACGGCCUUCGGGUUGUAAACCGCUUUCGCCUGUGACGAAGCGUGAGUGACGGUAAUGGGUAAAGAAGCACCGGCUAACUACGU
rnacentral:rRNA from 1 species